AGCGCAGGCGGGAAGACAAGUUGGAAGUGAAAUCUAUGGGCUCAACCCAUAAACUGCUUUCAAAACUGUUUUUCUUGAGUAGUGCAGAGGUAGGCGGAAUUCCCGGUGUAGCGGUGGAAUGCGUAGAUAUCGGGAGGAACACCAGUGGCGAAGGCGACCUACUGGGCACCAACUGACGCUGAGGCUCGAAAGCAUGGGUAAGCAAACA
rnacentral:rRNA from 1 species